CAGCUUCUCCAUGAAUUCAAAGUGAGCUCUCACUACAGAACAAUUCAAACAGAAGUUACUCCCAACAUAUGGGUUAAAAUAAAACCUGGAAGGCUGGAACUUUCCCAUGUUCAUUUACACACUGAAGGAACAUUUAAAACUCUAGUUGCUUAAAAAGUACAUGAUGGAACAAUUAAACUAUUAUAGUUCUUUACAAUUCUGGUUACAAAAUGAGAUUCUAAAAAAAGCACAAGUAUGGAGGUAGGAAUACCUAUAAGCAUUGAGGCGUCGAGAAGGUAACUAAAACCCUUGCAAGUCUAACCGUUGUCCUUGUGGUCUGCUGUCUAUUGUAUCUACAAAGAAUUGGAGAUGACUGGUGAGGUGUUCUGUACAAAGAAUUAGAGAUAAAUAAAAAAAUUUAAUGCCAAAUACAGGUUCUAUUGCAAUACUGUUAACUCUUGCAGUCUUGUUCAUGCACUAAGAAUUUCAAUGCCAAAUUCAGGUUAUUGACCAUAGAUUAUUCCUAUUCUAUGAAGAAUGAUCAACUACUGAAAAUAAUAUAUGACUUCCAUGCCUGAAACUGGAUCUAAUUAUCAUUAUGCAAAACUUGAAAACACAGAAAGAUAAUAGUUCACUCAGAUAAAACAUUUCAUACAAGGCAAAUGCAGCCUACCCUCUAAUUCCAAAAUUGCUCAUGUAUUUUGCCUUUCGUUUAUACUAUCAGGUGGUAGAAGUGACAGGCGGAUGUAUUUGCAUCUUCUUGUAUCUCAAACAAGGCAAUGUUGAUGCGUCAUAGUCUCCAGCUAUCACAAUUCACAAAAGCAAAUGAAUAUACCUUUCAGUCAUUCCCUCGAGCUGGUUGUGUGUGUCCUCCAUGCUGGAGUUGGAAAACAUGGUGGCUGCCGCUGGUUGCUUGCUGAAGCUGUAGGUUGCGAAGAAGAGGACAACGGGGUUGAUGUCGGCUUCCUGGCGGUCAGCACCUUCCUCCAGGCCGCGCCGAUUGGGGGGCACCGAGCUCGCAGAACGCAUCGCUUCAUCUGUCAUGAUCAGUGAGUGCCAUUAGAGAGGGCGCUCUGAA
rnacentral:lncRNA from 1 species